rnacentral:lncRNA from 1 species
CAAGACUUGCGGAACCGUAAUGCACUUUUGGUGUUGUGCUUAGCAAAUGUGAGUGAAUUUAGUCUCAUAUCCUCUGUAGUGGGCCUUUGGAUAGUUCCGAUGAGAAAAAGGCCACUCCGGAGUGCAAAAGUGCAUUGUUACCUUCAGAUGCUCGAAAACUUGAAUUGAGAUGAGAUUUGAGUUUCGAGGACGAAACUCCUUUUAAGGAGGGGAGGAUGUAAGGUACCGGAUUUUAAAUGUAAAAGUGAAAAUAAAUAAAAAUAGUGUGGGAUACUAUUUUUAUUGGACUUAUAGACAUAAAUUAUAAGUCUAGAGUGACCCGUGUUGAAAUGGAAGCGAAAACAGAAGAUUUAGAAUUUUCUGUGAGAGACAGGGCAGACGAUAUAUAUCUGUACCGUGCUGCUAAACCGAAUGUGAAUAGUGUUCUUGGAUAACUUGGAGGCCAAGUUUCCUAGAUAACUUGGAGGCCAAGUUUCCUAUGAAACUUGGAGGCUAAGUUUCCUAUGACACUUGGAGACCAAGUUUCCUAUGAAACUUGGAGGCCAAGUUUCCUAUAUAUAUAUAUAGGGGACUUGAGCCUUUUCUUUCUUUCUCCCUCACACUUGCAACCAAAGAGAAAUAUCUCUCUCUCUAACAAUUUCUCCACCAAAGAGAGGAAUUGGAGGUGCAUUUGGAGAAGAAAAAGGUUGCUUGGAGGUGAAGUCUUCAUCCUCUUCAUUACUGGGUUUGAGGAAAAGCUUGCGUUUGAGGUGCCUAAACACGUGUGAAGCGUCGGUUCGUCGAUUCGUCGAGCAGGUGCGACCGAAGAGUAAAGCGGCGACUAGGGAAGUGCAAUUGAGAACCUAGCCUCGUGAUAGCGGUAAAAGGUGGGGGGUGUCAUACCGAAACAUCCGGGCUUCCUUUUAUGUCUAAGUUUUAUUUUGAUCAUAUUCAUAUAUUGAUAUUGUGCAUUAUAGGAUUAGUAGAUGAUUACAUUCCAUUUCCUUACAUGUUUCCUAUGGUAGUGUAGCAUUAUGGGCUUGACACUUGAACUUAGGUUGCAUGAGGAUUGGGUCAUGUGA